UGGGGAAUAUUGGACAAUGGGCGAAAGCCUGAUCCAGCCAUGCCGCGUGUGUGAAGAAGGUCUUCGGAUUGUAAAGCACUUUAAGUUGGGAGGAAGGGCAGUAAGUUAAUACCUUGCUGUUUUGACGUUACCGACAGAAUAAGCACCGGCUAACUCUGUGCCAGCAGCCGAGGAAAUACAGAGGGUGCAAGCGUUAAUCGGAAUUAAUGGGCGUAAAGCGCGCGUAGGUGGUUUGUUAAGUUGGAUGUGAAAGCCCCGGGCUCAACCUGGGAACUGCAUCCAAAACUGGCAGGCUAGAGUACGGUAGAGGGUGGUGGAAUUUCCUGUGUAGCGGUGAAAUGCGUAGAUAUAGGAAGGAACACCAGUGGCGAAGGCGACCACCUGGACUGAUACUGACACUGAGGUGCGAAAGCGUGGGGAGCAAACA
rnacentral:rRNA from 1 species